UACAGAGGUCUCAAGCGUUGUUCGGAUUCACUGGGCGUAAAGGGUGCGUAGGCGGCGGGGAAAGUUUAAGGUGAAAUCUCCAGGCUCAACUUGGAAAAUGCCUCGAAUACUUCCUCGCUAGAGGGUCGCAGAGGAGGUUGGAAUUCUCGGUGUAGCAGUGAAAUGCGUAGAUAUCGAGAGGAACAUCAGUGGCGAAAGCGAAUCUCUGGGUGACACCUGACGCUGAGGCACGAAAGCCAGGGGAGCAAACGGG
rnacentral:rRNA from 1 species